rnacentral:rRNA from 1 species
CCUAAGGUAGCGAAAUUCCUUGUCGGGUAAGUUCCGACCUGCACGAAUGGCGUAACGACUUCCCUGCUGUCUCAACCACAGGCCCGGUGAAAUUGCAGUACGAGUAAAGAUGCUCGUUACGCGCGGCAGGACGAAAAGACCCCGGGACCUUCACUAUAGCUUGGUAUUGGUGUUUGAUUCGGUUUGUGUAGGAUAGGUGGGAGACUUUGAUCAUAUGACGCUAGUUGUGUGUGAGUCGUUGGUGAAAUACCACUCUGAUCGGAUUGGAUGUCUUAACCUUGGCCCAUGAUCUGGGUUGGGGACAGUGCCUGGUGGGUAGUUUAACUGGGGCGGUUGCCUCCUAAAAUGUAACGGAGGCGCCCAAAGGUUUCCUCAGCUUGGUUGGUAAUCAGGUGGUGAGUGUAAGUGCACAAGGGAGCUUGACUGUGACACUGACAGGUGGAGCAGGGACGAAAGUCGGGACUAGUGAUCCGGCACCUACUUGUGGUUGUGGUGUCGCUCAACGGAUAAAAGGUACCCCGGGGAUAACAGGCUGAUCUUCCCCAAGAGUCCAUAUCGACGGGAUGGUUUGGCACCUCGAUGUCGGCUCGUCGCAUCCUGGGGCUGGAGUAGGUCCCAAGGGUUGGGCUGUUCGCCCAUUAAAGCGGCACGCGAGCUGGGUUUAGAAC